GAUCCUUUUAAUACUAGAGUAUUGACUGACAGACCCUCCAACAUACAUCCACAUAGACCAUUAAAAGCAGGUAUGUGUUUAUAUAACGUUAUAUGCUGUUGUAUCAGCCCUGGUUUUAUCCCUGCGAUAAUUAUAUUUCUAUUUAUUUUAGAAACAGCCGUAAAGAGUACAAAAACCUCAGCAGUUUCUAAUGCAUGUACAGGCAUUAGCCGCUUACCAACUGCAGAUCACGGUCGUAAGACAUACAGCGCGAAUGCCGGAGAACGCAGGGACUGCAACCCGCAUAAACUAAAACAGGGCAAGUAUACGUAUGAGUUUUUUGUUUAUUUGUAUAUUUGUAUACUACAUAAAUAUAGUAUGUUUAUUUGUAUCUUGUACCUGUAUGUACAUCGGUGUAUUAAUUUACUCAUUUAUUUUUGAAUACAGUACCAAAGUUGUCUAUAACCCGGAGCCGCUCUACAAGAGAUAUUCCAGUCACACGUGACGAUGAACAACCAUCAACGUCGACCUCAGGGGCUUUAAGGCAGCGACCAUCUAGUGCGACAUGCGUCGCAAAGGAGCCUCUACAAAUACAUUGAUUAACCACAACAAAACACACGUCUCGGGGUAAGCCAUCAGUCACAUCAACAGUCAAUGUAUCAGGGUGUCGACAUUUCACUGUAGCAUCAAAAGUACCUGUGAAACAAUCCAUUAGCCCUGCAAAUGUUCCUAUACAACCAAACCCUAAGAAAAGUAGAUCUGUUUUACAGGACAUAACACAAACCAUCUGCAAUGAUAACAAUAUACAUAGAGGGACUACAUCACUGACAUCCAGAAAUACCUCUGUAAAG